AUGCAAGUUGAACGGUAUUGUUGAGUAGCUUGCAUUAACAAGAGAGUAGCGCACUGGUGAGUAACACGUGGGAACAUGCCCUGAAUGGGGGACAACAGAUGGAAACGUCUGCUAAUACCGCAUAAUCCCUGAGGGGGAAAGAUUUAUUGCUUUUGGGAUUGGCCCGCGGAAGAUUAGGUAGUAGGUGGGGUAAAGGCCUACCUAGCCGACGAUCUAUAGCUGGUCUGAGAGGACGAUCAGCCACAUUGGAACUGAGACACGGUCCAGACUCCUACGGGAGGCAGCAGUGAGGAAUAUUGGGCAAUGGAGGGAACUCUGACCCAGCCAAUGCCGCGUGAGUGAGAAGGUCUUCGGAUUGUAAAGCUCUUUCGGACGAGACGAUGAUGACGGUAUCAUCUAAAGAAGCCCCGGCAAACUUCGUGCCAGCCGCAGC
rnacentral:rRNA from 1 species